GAUGAAGAACGUAGCGAAAUGCGAUAAGUAAUGUGAAUUGCAGAAUUCAGUGAAUCAUCGAAUCUUUGAACACACAUUGCGCCCGCGAGUAUUCUCGCGGGCAUGCCUGUCCGAGCGUCAUUUCAACCCUCAGGGCCCGCCUGCUUCGGCAGGCGCGGCGCUGGUGUUGGGGAUCGGCCUAACCGCCGUCCCCCAAAUACAGUGGCGGUCUCGCUGCAGCCUCCCCUGCGUAGUAGCAACACUCGCAUGCGGAGCGCGGCGCGGCCACGCCGUAAAACCCCCGACUUUCUGAACGUUGACCUCGGAUCAGGUAGGAAUACCCGCUGAACUUAAGCAUAUCAAUAAGCGGAGGA
rnacentral:misc_RNA from 1 species